AUCUAGCUGAUGAGUCUCAAAUAAGACGAAACGCGCGUUCUGAAU
rnacentral:hammerhead_ribozyme from 1 species